ACAAAAAAUGUCUUUAAAAAGGAAGAAAGAGGAGGAUUUCCCCUGUGUGUUUGACGAGGUGUUUCGGACUAAACGUGUGAGCAGUAUCUACAACUCUUGAGUAGUAAAUUGGGUUUCAAUUGUUUUUAAGAGCUGAAAUCUUAAAGUGUAUUAUUUGGCCUGUGUCCAAGUCACAUGACUGCAACCAAAUGGGAUACUCAUGCUUCCCAAAUUAAAUCCAUUCCACUUUUCUUUUCAAUAAAUGACAUCACUUUUGGUUUGAUAUUAAAAAAUAAAAGUGAUGAAAUCUGCUGUAACAUAA